rnacentral:rRNA from 1 species
AUGGCCUUCAUGAUUCCAGGACCUGGAAUCAUACCAGCUGAUGGGUGGUGGUUUAUCGCUCAUUCAGCUGACGGCGAUCAUUUGAUGCUCAUUCACACCACGACCCUCUUUUGUUGGAUAUUAUGUACUGUUGUUUGUUUGAAGCACUCCUCUGGUUUGAAGGAUAGAUACCUUCCUGGGAUCAAGUGCAUCCUAACUCACCUGCUACCAUAUAACUGGAAUUACCGAUGCAAGUCGAAGAAGGAUUGGCCCGUGCUGCCGGCCGGCGUCAAGUUCGAUGCCACAGAUCAGGAGCUGAUCGAGCACCUUGAGGCCAAAGUGAGUGCUGACAGCAUGAGAUUUCAGGCUCUCAUCGAUUUGUUCAUACCAACCAUCGACAGCGAGCACGACAUAUGUUACACCCAACCUGAGAAACUUCCAGGUAUCACACUGAGUGGCCUAAGGAAGCAUUUCUUCCAGCGCAAUUCCAGGGCAUUCAAAAGGGGCGCGUGGACGCGUCGCAAGAUACAGUCGGAGUGCGGCAUGCACGCGAUAUGGCACAAGACCGGCAAUACCUUGCCGGUGAUGGUCAACAGCCGGCAGACGGGCAGCAAAAAAGGUUCUGGUGCUGCACACCAACAAGAACUUUGA